rnacentral:snoRNA from 1 species
AGCCUCCAGAUCCCUUGACCCUCAGAUAUAAAUAUUAAUCUAAGUGAGUGAAAAAGGAGGCAAAGUAAAACUGAAGUGGACUUGAAGUUUUUUGUGACAUACAGGUUCAUUUCAAACAUAC